GACGAACGCUGGCGGCGUGCCUAACACAUGCAAGUCGAGCGAUGAAGUUUCCUUCGGGAAAUGGAUUAGCGGCGGACGGGUGAGUAACACGUGGGUAACCUGCCUCAUAGAGGGGAAUAGCCUCCCGAAAGGGAGACUAAUACCGCAUAAUAUUACAGUUUCGCAUGAAACAGUAAUUAAAGGAGUAAUCCGCUAUGAGAUGGACCCGCGGCGCAUUAGCUAGUUGGUGAGGUAACGGCUCACCAAGGCGACGAUGCGUAGCCGACCUGAGAGGGUGAUCGGCCACAUUGGGACUGAGACACGGCCCAGACUCCUACGGGAGGCAGCAGUGGGGAAUAUUGCACAAUGGGGGAAACCCUGAUGCAGCAACGCCGUGUGAGUGAUGACGGUCUUCGGAUUGUAAAGCUCUGUCUUUGGGGACGAUAAUGACGGUACCCAAGGAGGAAGCCACGGCUAACUACGUGCCAGCCGCCGCGGUAACAC
rnacentral:rRNA from 1 species